rnacentral:rRNA from 1 species
AGCAGCCGCGGUAAUUCCAGCUCCAAUAGCGUAUAUUAAAGUUGUUGCAGUUAAAAAGCUCGUAGUUGAAUUUCGGGAUUGACGUGAUGGUCGUGCCUUAAGGGGUAUGAACUGUUGCUGUUGAUUUCUCACCUUCUGGAGAAACUUGAUGUCCUUAAUUGGGUGUCUUGCGGAUCCAGGACCUUUACCUUGAAAAAAUUAGAGUGUUUAAAGCAGGCAUUUUUGCUCGAAUACAUUAGCAUGGAAUAAUAGAAUAGGACGGCAUGGUUCUAUUUUGUUGGUUUCUAGGAUCACCGUAAUGAUUAAUAGGGAUAGUUGGGGGCAUUAGUAUUCAAUUGUCAGAGGUGAAAUUCUUGGAUUUAUUGAAGACUAACUACUGCGAAAGCAUUUGUCCAAGGAUGUUUUCUAUUAAUCAAGAACGAAAGUUAGGGGAUCGAAGACGAUCAGAUACCGUCGUAGUCUUAACC